rnacentral:rRNA from 1 species
CUUUAACUGACGCUGAGGCACGAAAGCAUGGGUAGCAAACAGGAUUAGAUACCCUGGUAGUCCAUGCCGUAAACGAUGAUUACUAGGUGUGGGGGGAUUGACCCCUUCCGUGCCGCAGUUAACACAAUAAGUAAUCCACCUGGGGAGUACGGCCGCAAGGUUGAAACUCAAAGGAAUUGACGGGGGCCCGCACAAGCAGUGGAGUAUGUGGUUUAAUUCGAAGCAACGCGAAGAACCUUACCAGGUCUUGACAUCGAGUGACGUAUCCAGAGAUGGAUAUUCCCUACGGGGCACGAAGACAGGUGGUGCAUGGUUGUCGUCAGCUCGUGUCGUGAGAUGUUGGGUUAAGUCCCGCAACGAGCGCAACCCUUGCUGUUAGUUGCUACGCAAGAGCACUCUAACAGGACUGCCGUUGAUAAAACGGAGGAAGGUGGGGACGACGUCAAAUCAUCAUGCCCCUUAUGACCUGGGCUACACACGUACUACAAUGGCCGUAAACAAAGGGAAGCAAAGGAGCGAUCCGGAGCAAACCCCCAAAAACGGUCCCAGUUCAGAUUGUAGGCUGCAACCCGCCUACAUGAAGUGGAAUGCUAGUAAUCGC